rnacentral:rRNA from 1 species
GACGAACGCUGGCGGCGUGCUUAACACAUGCAAGUCGAACGGAAAGGCCUCUUUCGGGGGGUACUCGAGUGGCGAACGGGUGAGUAACACGUGAUUAACCUGCCCUUGCCUUUGGGAUAACUUCAUGAAACUGGGGCUAAUACCGGAUAGGAGCUCCUGCUGCAUGGUGGGGGUUGGAAAGUUUCGGCGGUUGGGGAUGGACUCGCGGCUUUUCAGCUUGUUGGUGGGGUAGUGGCUUACCAAGGCUUUGACGGGUAGCCGGCCUGAGAGGGUGACCGGCCACAUUGGGACUGAGAUACGGCCCAGACUCCUACGGGAGGCAGCAGUGGGGAAUAAUGCACAAUGGGUGGAAACCUGAUGCAGCAACGCCGGGUGCGGGAUGACGGACUUCGGGUUGUAAACCGCUUUCGCUCAUGACGAAGCUUUGUGUGACGGUAGUGGGUAAAGAAGCACCGGCUAACUACGUG